rnacentral:piRNA from 1 species
UGGAUUACUAUCUUGCCUUCUGAUGUC